rnacentral:rRNA from 1 species
GUCGAGCGCCCCGCAAGGGGAGCGGCAGACGGGUGAGUAACGCGUGGGAACGUACCCUUUACUACGGAAUAACGCAGGGAAACUUGUGCUAAUACCGUAUGUGCCCUUCGGGGGAAAGAUUUAUCGGUAAGGGAUCGGCCCGCGUUGGAUUAGCUAGUUGGUGGGGUAAAGGCCUACCAAGGCGACGAUCCAUAGCUGGUCUGAGAGGAUGAUCAGCCACAUUGGGACUGAGACACGGCCCAAACUCCUACGGGAGGCAGCAGUGGGGAAUAUUGGACAAUGGGCGCAAGCCUGAUCCAGCCAUGCCGCGUGAGUGAUGAAGGCCCUAGGGUUGUAAAGCUCUUUCACCGGAGAAGAUAAUGACGGUAUCCGGAGAAGAAGCCCCGGCUAACUUCGUGCC